rnacentral:rRNA from 1 species
AAGAUCGAAUGGGGAGAUUCAUCGUCAGCGACGCUGGCUUAGCGAUGGCUCGUGAUGUCCGGGAUCUCGGUCUCGAGGCACGCGGUCGUCGCUUUGCGUCCGGCGGCGUCGGCGUGCACUUCUCCCCUAGUAGAACGUCGCGACCCGUUGGGUGCCGGUCUUACGGCCCGAGUGGAUGCCUGCCGCAUCGUUUCGACGCGUGCGGCAGACCCUCGGUCGCCAAAGAAUCGGCUGCCCGGCGGUACUCCCAUGGUAUCGGGCCGCAAAAAUUUCGAACUGCGUCGGGCCCGCUUCGUCCGCCGGUCAGUUUCUCGGUGGUACGGACCUAGCGCCGUCCCCGGUUCUGGCUAGCUUGCGUCAGGCGGUGUCCUCCGACUGGCCGUAAACACUGAUCGAUACCGGUCGGCGACGCUACUGCUUUGGGUAAUCUCAGGACCCGUCUUGAAACACGGACCAAGGAGUCUAACAUGUGCGCGAGUCAUUGGGACCGCAUGCCUAAAGGCGAAAUGAAAGUGAAGGUCGGCCCUCGCGCCGACCGAGGGAGGAUGGGCCGCGUCACGAUGCGGCUUCGCACUCCCGGGGCGUCUCGUUCUCAUUCGAGAAGAGGCGCACCCAGAGCGUACACGUUGGGACCCGAAAGAUGGUGAACUAUGCCUGGUCAGGACGAAGUCAGGGGAAACCCUGAUGGAGGUCCGUAGCGAUUCUGACGUGCAAAUCGAUCGUCGGAA